AUGGCUGCUGUGGAAAAGGUCUGUUGCACUUACAGUAACGUAAUGACUUGUUGUCAACUCCAGUAUUGUUAUUUCACUUCACCUGUCUCUCCUGUGCCCCGCUGCUCCGUGUGUGUGGAGGGCUAAGCUCCGCCCCUCCGCCCCUCCGCCCUCGGUGAAACACGGUGAGAAGAGAAAGCGCGACCUACCGCGCAGACUCUAAAAGGACCCCGAGGACAGAGGGUCUAACCCCUGUAGCUGUAGGCUAACUGUCAAUGAGGCUAACAUUACAGUCACUGUGUUAUGAGGUAGGUGAGCAUACUGGGGGAUAUGUGUUGUGAAUGAAGGGCAGUGCUAGAAAGUAACACUGAAUAAUAAAUCUACUUAUGCAGCGGUGCAUAAGAGGGACAAAUAGCCGAUAUCUAAUCCUACCAUGACAUUGUUUUUUCAGGUGGUGGCAUGUGUCCUGUUUGACUUUGACAAAGACUUUCUCAGGGGGGUGAUGAAAAUGAAAUGAGCCCUGCCAAGAGGAGACAUUUUUGGUUACACAACCAGAAACUCGCUUGAGGUGAGACUGAAGUGACAGAAGCUUGGUAAUUAAGAAAAACUCAUCACUGAUGAAGAGAAACCAAAGUUUUGAGGUACCGCGUUUGUUUUGUUUGACACAAAGAACAACCUCCCGGGCUGAAGAAUGAAGUGUGGAAAUGCUGCUGGUCCUUGAUUGGCCACUUGAGGCUGGUUUCAAAAGUGAUCAAACUCCAUAAACCCCCAAAUGAAGAUGCCCAACUUUACAGCAGAAAUAAACAUGUUUACACCCUGGUAUAAAAA